rnacentral:rRNA from 1 species
UACGUAGGGUGCGAGCGUUGAUCGGAAUUACUGGGCGUAAAGCGUGCGCAGGCGGCGCGUUAAGACAGGUGUGAAAGCCCCGAGCUUAACUUGGGAAUUGCGCUUGUGACUGGCGUGCUGGAGUGUGGCAGAGGGAGGUGGAAUUCCACGUGUAGCAGUGAAAUGCGUAGAGAUGUGGAGGAACACCGAUGGCGAAGGCAGCCUCCUGGGCCAGCACUGACGCUCAUGCACGAAAGCGUGGGGAGCAAACAGG